rnacentral:rRNA from 1 species
CCUACGGGAGGCAGCAGUGGGGAAUUUUGGACAAUGGGCGCAAGCCUGAUCCAGCCAUGCCGCGUGUGGGAAGAAGGCCUUCGGGUUGUAAACCGACUUUUAGUCAGGGUAAGAAACGGUCUAGAACUAAUACUUUGGACUAAGUGACGGUACCUGAAGAAUAAGCACCGGCUAACUACGUGCCAGCAGCCGCGGUAAUACGUAGGGUGCAAGCGUUAAUCGGAAUUACUGGGCGUAAAGCGUGCGCAGGCGGCUUUGCAAGACAGAUGUGAAAUCCCCGGGCUCAACCUGGGAACUGCAUUUGUGACUGCAUGGCUAGAGUACGGUAGAGGGGGAUGGAAUUCCGCGUGUAGCAGUGAAAUGCGUAGAUAUGCGGAGGAACACCGAUGGCGAAGGCAAUCCCCUGGACCUGUACUGACGCUCAUGCACGAAAGCGUGGGGAGCAAACAGGAUUAGAUACCCUGGUAGUCCACGCCCUAAACGAUGUCAACUGGUUGUUGGGAGGGUUUCUCUCAGUACGAAGCUAACGCGUGAAGUUGACCGCCUGGGGAGUACGGGCCGCGAGGUUGAAACGUCAAAGGAUUAGACGG